rnacentral:rRNA from 1 species
AAUAUUGCACAAUGGAGGGAACUCUGAUGCAGCAACGCCGCGUGAGUGAUGAAGGUUUUCGGAUCGUAAAACCCUGUCAUUGGGGAAGAAUAAAUGACGGUACCCAAUUAGGCAGCCCCUGCUAACUACGAGCCAGCCGCCGCGGUAAUACGUCGGGGGCGAGCGUUGUCAGGAAUUACUGGGCGUAAAGGGUACGUAGGCGGCUAUAUAAGUCAGGUGUGAAAUACCAGUGCUUAACACUGGAAUUGCAUUUGAAACUGUGUAGCUUGAGUGCAGGAGAGGAAAGUGGAAUUCCUAGUGUAGCGGUGAAAUGCGUAGAGAUUAGGAGGAACACCAGUGGCGAAGGCGACUUUCUGGACUGUAACUGACGCUGAGGUACGAAAGCGUGGGUAGCGAACA